UGGGGUUGGAGCAGGAGAGGGCUUGACUACCAUUCUUUUUCUACGUACUUCCUCCUUUAACCCACGAACAGACUUUCUUCUCUAUGGUAGCUUCAAUUUUGGAGCCAUUUCGGACAAGAGAGACUUACAAAUAGCUUAGGAGACCUAAUGAGAGGAGAGCGAAAAAGAUUUUAGAGAAAAAAUAAAGAUUUUGGAGACUUAAACCGUCGGUAUGGAGAAGAGAAUUUGAAGCUAGGGUAAGCUUGAUC
rnacentral:lncRNA from 1 species